AUUGUGACUUUGUUGCAAAAUCUGUGUGUUACUGUCUGUUGUAGUUCAGUGUAUUAAUUUAAUUAAUGGACUCUUAGUCCUUUUUGAAUGGAAGGCUAGGGAAAACAAGGUAGUGGUCCUGUACCACUGAUGGGCAAAUACGUAGGGCUUUACUUCCUUUUGAGGAAAACAGAGAUGAACUUCUUCUCUGAACUACCCUCUAUUAUCCAUUUUUAGAUAAACUACUGUAGGCUUUUGGGGGCAAGUAUAACUUUCUGGAAAGCAAAUCAAACUCACCUUGAAGUCUUUGCAUGCUGUGAGUUCUGUUGCUAGUGGAUGCAGUCUACCUGAAACUAAUCUGCAUAAAGAAGAGAAAUGGAAGAAAUAAUACCUGUCAGCAUCAGCAUAUGUGAGAAAAAUGCAGCUAAGCGGAGUCUGGAGCAUUCGCUUUGUCAAGUGUUGGUUGAGGAAACAAGUCAGCUGCUGGUGAAAACAUUUUGUUUUAGAAGAAACCAAUUCAGAGUGUUCAUCCAGAACAGCAGAAGAAAGAGAAUAAGGUAAUCUGCAUCCCAUAGCAGAGCAGAUCUCCACACUGCAGCCUGUGGAGGAGCCCCCAGUGGAGCAGGUGGAUGUGGCCUGGAGGAGGCUGCAGCCCAUGGAGAGCCCCCGCAGGAGCAGGCCCUGGGCCGGAGCUGCAGCCCGUGGAGACGAGCCCACGCAGGAGCAGGGGAUCCUGCCUCUUUGAAGUUCCUGUGGCACACUGUAGCUUUCACUCAAAAGAUUUUUGUGAUAGUUUGGUAGCAGUGCUCAGAUAUUAAAAUGUUAACAGUAGCCAAGCACUUGGGUUUAGGCAGUGGGCUAGUCAUGACAUGGGGAGAAAAGGUGUUAAAAAUGAUUCUGAUGACAGGUGUUUAUUUAAAAGAAAUGUGGGGAGCCCAUAAGCAACUACGAACUCAAAUCACAUUAUGACAGGAUGGAUAAACACCAUGCUUACUCACCAUGGGCUGUAAGGUACAUCAGUGUGAAAAUAUUGCUGAGUACUGCAUUUGAGGCACCCAAAAAUACAUGUAACAGUUGGCUUGCAAAACUGGAGUGCUCUGAUGGAUGGCUACAAACUCUUCAGAAGGGAUGGGCUAGGAAGAAGCAGCAGGGGUAGCCCUGUAGGAUAGGGAAAAACAGGAGUUCCUGGGGCUAUCAGGAAGGUCAUUCUAGGUAACUGCAAGAAUUUCAUCCCCUUUGGUGUGAUGAUAUUGCUGGUUUUCUGAUGUAUCCCUACUAGAGAAAACAAAAGUUUUUAGACAAUCAUUUCCUAUAACUAGUAGGUACAAGUAUUAUAUCUUACCUAUUACUGAGCUAUAAAACCUCUAAGACAUUUAUCUAAUUUGAAACAUGUUUCAAGUAAUGUUUAUUUUACAAAGCUCUUUUCUUUAUGGUCAGGUAUGCUCUCUGUAAAACAGGAAAUUAUUUAAACUUUAUCUGUCAAUAAAAUCCCAACCGUAUGUUUAUGAUGUCUCAUUCAAUUCAUGUGAUGCUUGCCCACUGUGUUAAAUAAACAAUCUGCACCUGUCAGUUGUUACAACUCUUACUGGAAAACUUAGUAACAUAAAAUCUGCAUUUGAUAGGAAUGUUAUUCUAUUGUUAUUAUGGUAUAAUUUAUUAAAAUCAUGGAUUCCAGUCA